GGAAUGAAACUAAUAUGUACCUUCCACGAAUAGUACCGAUUUCCUUCUUGCUGGUUAAACUUAAGCUUUAUUACCAAGUUUAAAUGUUUUGGAAAGCAUAGAUUUCUGAUGAACUCUUACUGAUUCUCAAACCGAACAUUGUAAAAUAUGCAAGAGCUAUCUCAUAUGGUAGGAACCAAUAAUAUAUGCAGCUGAUAAUUAAAUUAAGGGUAAAUUACAAAAACCUCCCUGAGGUUUACGUUUAUUACAUUUCCAUCAAGUAUUUUGAAAAACCUACACUUACACCCCUAAAAAAUGAC
rnacentral:lncRNA from 1 species